rnacentral:lncRNA from 1 species
CACUCGUAUCAAUGAAAUGAUACGUAAUCUUUGUAUAUUCGCGAAAAUACAAUGAAAAGACCCAGGCUGCGCAUUAAGGAGCAUAUAUCUUCCAGGUUCAGGACAGAAACAAUGUGGAGUCAACUGAAAAUAGUGAAAAGCAGUCUCCUAGUAGAUGCGGAAACACCAUUAUAGACUUUUAUUGUCAGUUGGACCUUUCUUGCCAAUUCGGAAAUAAAAAAUCUACCCUCGGACAAUCACCAAGGGAAAGCACACCUUAGUCGCUACCCUUAUGAUUGUAUUUGUGGUACUGUUGUUCAAUGCGGGAUAUGGAGAAAAACAAUGUAAUAUCAAACUUUUGUCAUGGAAAAGGAUGACAACAAACUAACUGCAGACACUGUUACGGAAUCAUCAUAAUGUGCAAUAUAAAAAGCAUGUUAAAUGGUUGAAGGUGAUAACCUUCAUAAAGCAAACUUGCAUAAGUAGCUGCAUAUUUCCUAUGACAUGUGUUGGAGAAGUGCAGAAUAUAAGAGUAGUCUUUCACAGUACAGUAAUUUUAUCAAGUUUGUUAUUUCUUUUCUGCAUAUAAAAUUAAUGGUGCAAAACUCUUGCUUGGAUUUUCACAGAAACGGUAGCUGAAGAAACAUACUGAAGAAAUCACUGUCAUGAUAACUACAGUAAGAAAUAUCUUUCCAGAUCCCGUUGAUGCAUGGUCUGUCAUCAAUUCAAUAUCAUAAAUUCUGUUUGUAAUUGGUACUACACUUUUCAAGUUGUUUACGACAUUCCUCGAUUACUCAAGUCAAAUGGUUUUAUUUAAGUAAUUGUAAGGAAAUAUUAAAGAAAUUGCCAGCAAUUGUGAUAGCCAUUGAUGAAGAACGUUUUCCCCUAGGUGAACAAUAGCAUUCAUUGAUGAUGAGGUACCAUCAAGAUGUCUCGUCUACUAACUUAGCAUCUAGAUUACAACACAUAAAGCAUCUAAUUACUAUGAAAUACAGUCAAAAUAUUUAUCAGUAGAUAUUCAGGAAAUUUCCUGAUGCAAUGUAUGUAGACUUAUGUUGCUUACUUGGACACAUGGAAAGAAUUAUUAGUUUUCUUGAAUUCCAUUUGUGAGAGAAGGAAUUUGUUAGAAAACUCGAUUUGGUAAAAUGACACUAACUUUCGCUCAAUCUGCAGAACAAAAUAUAAUUGUAGGCUCGUACCACAGAGAUUAUCACUCUGAAUUAGACUGAAGAAACAUUUUGAUAGACCAUUUUGAUAUGUACCAGUAGUAUAUUUGAUAGACCAAUAUACCUUGAUUAAUCCGAUGAUAUCGUUAUGCACCCAUCUUCUGAAUUAGUACUAUUAAAUUUAAGGAUCAAUGUCAAAGAACCAAUAUUUACUCGUACCUGCGAAAAAUUCACGAUAGAGAAAAUAAAUAUAAGAGUAAUCCAAAUUAGUCAAGCCAUUAACAAAGAAUAAAUCUCUGCAAUUAGAGUAUUUCCUAAAAGAAAGUAAUUUAUAGGUUUCAUAUGAAGGGAUGUACAUGCACCAGAUAUUUGCGAAAUUAGUAAGCACUAUCAGGUUUGAGGUAUGGAUGACUGAAGAAAAAGCAAAACCUCUGGAUGGAGUAAGCCACGGAAUCGGUCAUUUACAGUAAGUUCUCUAUGGAGUUGGAAUUGCACUAACCAUAUCUGCGGCCUGCACUAUAAAUUAUUGUAGGGACUGAAGACAAUCAUAAACUUAGUUGAGGAAAUGUGUUAAUAUCAAUGCGUAUUAUGCCACCAUAAAUCUGAAUUACAUGGAGAUCAAUCAUUUGAAAACCAAGGAUCUUGCAUCACAGACCGUUGUCUGGGCUACACCAACAGUAUGGAUAAGCGAUACAUCAUACUUUCUCCAAUUAAUAACACGGAAAUAGUGGUGAGCAAAAUAAACAACAAAUAACCAACCGACGAAGGCUGAUAAUUUGCAAAACAUGACCUGUGGGUUACUGAACGGCUAGAGGUAGGUGGUGAAGUGCCAAGCAGUGGUGGUGGUGUUCACUGUGAUAAAAAUCACACUAUCAAAUAACAUGAGAAGCGAAUUUAGUCUGAGUUAUGUGAGCAGUGAUGUCAUUUCUUUCCCAACUUUUAUGACAGUUUACUAUCACGGUUGCAACCACAUAAUGAAAUUCCAUUGUAUCAUUUUGAAAAAUAGUAGAGAAAAUUAGAUGAAGAAAAAUGGCAGCAACAGUACCUGAAUUCAACAGACUUCAGCCCUUGCAUGCCAAAAGAAAAAUUGCAACAACAGUAUGUUUCCUGCUAGGGCACUACUUAAUAGCAUGAUAAAAUCUCAGUAAUACGAAAUUAUUAUAAACAGAUCUAGGACAUGUAUGUUCGCAUGCAGGCUAUAUGCGAUCAAUUAUUUUGCAUCUUCUUGUAAAAAUUUAUCACUAUGCACAAUUUGCAAAUAAAAUAAACUAUAGGAUUGUACAUAGGCAACAUACAUCUACCUAUACCUUGAAGCUUCCCUAAACUUUUCAGGCUUGUCCACCUCAAUUAAUGUAACUGUAGCAUGGGGUUCAUUCUGGUGGGCAUCUUGCGUCGAGGGCAUGUGGAAUGCCUAGUAUCGUCCAUGGUGGUGGCCAACUAAAUUAAUUCAAACUACCAUCGGUAUGGCUCUCCCAUCAAACAAUAUUCAUCACGGGAUAUAUUCAUGUAAGAUCAAAAAUAGAUGCAUGAUUGCAGCGUACUUAGGACAUGGAAGCUAAGGAGAUUCAAAGGUUACAAAGAAAGAUAUUAGGGAGAGCCAGAGAGGAAGGAUUGAUUUCAGAUUUCCAAUCACUUGGAUAUCAUAACGUACCUUUGGGGCAGAGGCGAUUCAAUGGUUGGAGAGGAAGGGCAUCAAGAAGAUACUGCUUGGAUCUUUAUUAGAAGGAAUCCCGAUGUGGAAACUGGAGAGGAGGAGGAGCGGCGCUAGGGAUCCCUCCACGGCAUGUCGCUGCCUCGCUGGGGCAAGAUCGAUGGAGGGGUGGAAUCUGCUAGGGCCGAGGGAGAUGUCUUUUUUUAGGGAGAUGUCCUCUUGGGCAGUCGUGGAAGAAUUGGCUGAAGGCGCCUCCA